AGUGAACGCUGGCGGUAGACCUAACACAUGCAAGUCGAACGGCAGCACAGUAAGAGCUUGCUCUUACGGGUGGCGAGUGGCGGACGGGUGGGGAAUACAUCGGAAUCUACUUUUUCGUGGGGGAUAACGUAGGGAAACUUACGCUAAUACCGCAUACGACCUACGGGUGAAAGCAGGGGAUCUUCGGACCUUGCGCGAUUGAAUGAGCCGAUGUCGGAUUAGCUAGUUGGCGGGGUAAAGGCCCACCAAGGCGACGAUCCGUAGCUGGUCUGAGAGGAUGAUCAGCCACACUGGAACUGAGACACGGUCCAGACUCCUACGGGAGGCAGCAGUGGGGAAUAUUGGACAAAGGGCGCAAGCCUGAUCCAGCCAUACCGCGUGGGUGAAGAAGGCCUUCGGGUUGUAAAGCCCUUUUGUUGGGAAAGAAAAGCAGCAGGUUAAUACCCCGCUGUUCUGACGGUACCCAAAGAAUAAGCACCGGCUAACCUCGUG
rnacentral:rRNA from 1 species